UACAGAGGGUGCGAGCGUUGUCCGGAAUCACUGGGCGUAAAGGGCGCGUAGGCGGCCCGGCAAGUCAAUGGUGAAAGCUCAGGCUCAACUCUGAGUCGGCCACUGAUACGUGCGGGGCUCGAGUCUGGUAGAGGCAGAUGGAAUUCCGGGUGUAGCGGUGGAAUGCGUAGAGAUCCGGAAGAACACCGGUGGCGAAGGCGGUCUGCUGGGCCAGUACUGACGCUGAGGGCGCGACAGCGUGGGGAGCAAACAGG
rnacentral:rRNA from 1 species